rnacentral:lncRNA from 1 species
UUUAAUUAUAAUAAUAGGGCUUUGAUUGCCUCUUCAUGUUCUAAGUCUUAAUGCCAUGGCUUUCUUAAAAUACAGUGGACAAGCAAUGAUAGAAAAUUCAGGCCUUUUUUUUUUUCCCUCCAGCAUCCUGAAGUACCCAUUAAUUGUUGUAAUUCUUUUCUAGAUUGGGGCAUUUAUGAUUGAUUGCAUGUGAUUGAUUGAGAGUGGGUUCUAGAUAUAAUUUGCCAUUUUUUGAAAUCUGCAAUUAUUUCAGAAAUAGCAGUCCCUGUUGCAGCAGACCAACUGAAAAUGUAAGGUCAUCAAGCCAGUGAUCAGCAUCUACUUGCCAGACAGCUAGGCCCAAUUGCUGUCCAGGCUUGAUUAGCCUUUUGGAUCUGUGUUCUGCAUCUGAUUCCCAUGAAGAGGAAAAGGGCAAUUUCUUUCCCUGGGAGACACUCAUCACAGCAGAAAAUUCCUGCAAGAAGAUGCCCCCACUGGAGCUAACAAGGGUUUUACCAGUAACAAUGAGCCCCUUCCCUUCUGGCUGGCUGACAAAACUGCGAUCAUUGCAGGAUAGAGCCCACCUUUGCACUCACACUCAGCUCUCAGACACUAUCUCCAAUCCAGCACUGUGUUCCAGUAGCAUGCUGUCCCUUCCAAAAUGCUCAGCAUGUCAUUUGUUACACACUGGUUCCACUUUUGCCACCAGCGAUAAAUAGCACAUGCCACUACCCAGGUGGAUCCUGCCUUGGCUCGGAGAUGAACUGGCAAAUGUGGGAAUCACCCAAGGCCACCAGUUUUAGAUGCAGCUGGAAGGAGAUUUAACCAGAUGCCUCCAGUCACCCUUGUUGCAGAAAAAGCACAAAACCACUUCUGAUGAUGUUGUACAUUUGAGAGAAAACACCUGCUAUCAGGCAGUGAGAGAUUCUCCUCUCCAUUCAGCAAAGCCACUACUUUUAAAAACAUCAAGAACAAAUACCUAGACAGGAUCGCAAAAUCACAGAAUGAUUUGGGUUGGAAGGGACCUUAAAGACUGUCUAGUGACAACCUCCACUGUACUUCAAAGCCAAUACUCAGCAUGUGUUUUGUGCCUGUAAGUGCUGCUGCCUGCAGGGCUCCCACAAGUAGUUUUCAGACCACAUGGCAUUCAAGUUUCAUGAACAUUAUAACAUACCCAGCUUAAUGCCAUCUCUUCUUAAGGAAUCAAACAGCAGGAAGUUCUUCAUUCAGCAGAGACCAGCUCUGAAUGCCACUGCAGAACCACAAACUGAAAGGCAAACCUUGAGUGGCUGGGAGUUAGUGCCAGCUCUGGCAGUAGAAUGAGCUCAAGCACACUGCAAAAUUCCUAGGGUUGUCGAGCCGCAGCACAUUGACACUGCUGCUUGCCAGUCCCACUGUGUAGCAAUAGAGCUGCAUAAUGCUGAACUCCUUUUUAUUUUUUUAUUUCUAUUUUAUUUUUUUUUGGGGGGGGGGGGAUGUUACAUACUGGCUCACAUGUUCUUGCACUACACAACAUGAAGACUCAGUGGAAGCAGCAUGAACAGGGUCCCUUUGUGCUUUUUCACUUUGUCACCCUGCUCAGGCUCGGAGAGCACUGACUGCAACAACCUUGAUAGCAUUACAGCUUGGCUUGUCUGGUGUGCUUGUUUUUGGAAGCCGAGCACCAAUGUCGUAUGGCACAAGAAAAGGGACAGCAGCAAUGACAUCUGCAGUUUCACUCUUAAAGCUUGACCACCAUGCUGAGGGGCCAACAUUCAUCAACGCUAGGAAUGGUGCAUUGUGUGGGAACAAAAUCUGCUGCCUGAACUCGUGCUUUCUUCUGGCUGCAGAGCUGUCCAAGCUCAGCCACUUGCUCAGGAAUAUCAGUGUCUAAGUUUCAGCUGGGAUGGAAUUGUUUUCUUCAGAGUGCCUGGUAUGAUACUGUGUUUUUGUUCUAAGAGAAAACCACUGCUGAUAACACACCAAUGUUUACAGCGGCUGCUAAGCAGUGCUGCACAAAGCCAAGACCAUUUGCAGCAAGGAGCCCAAGGAGCUGGGAGGGAACAGAGUGAGGACAGCUGACUUAGAUUGUCCAAAGGGACAUUCCAUGCCAUAUGGCAUCAUGUGGAAGGAGUUUUGAAGGGGGUGGGAGUGCAUCGCACUCUCUUCCGCUGCUCGGGGGCUAGCUGGGCAUUGGCUGGGGAGUGGUGAGCAAUUGCUUGUGCGUCAUCUGUUAUACAUAUAUAUAUACUUGUCAUAAUUAUUAUCCUUUUCCUUUUCUCUAGAUUAGUAAAUAAUUUUAUCUCAGCACAUGAGUUCUAUGUUGGUUUUUUUUUUUUUCCCCCGAUUCUUUCCUCUAUCCCACUAGGAAGGGUGGGAGUGAGCAAAUGACUGUGUAGUGCUCAGCUACUUGCUGAGUUAACUCACAACAGCAACAUUCAUGAAUCCAACUAUUUUAUUGCUGCUGCUACAGUAGAGUUCCA